rnacentral:lncRNA from 1 species
UUUGAUACCACUGUCACAACAACACAAGAAAAGUUUUCAAAGUACGUCUUAGAAAUAAUGUAAGAUAUAACUUCAAACAUUUGAAAAAUGGCCGUUUGAAAAAAAGCUUAAAGACAUACAGAAGACAUCUUAAAACAUCUUAAAUUUUACAGGAUUUAUUUAUUUCUCUCAAAGACCUUUAUUAUCUUUAUAAGAUUGGAUUUAAGCCAUUUAUCAUCUAUACCUGCGUCUGGCCUUUUGAUUAGUAGGCAAAGCUUUGGAGUUUAUCAACCCGGUAGACCAGUAGCCCCCACCAGUGCAAAGGCUCCAGAAGGUCAUUGGGCAGCAUCAGAGCUUAAGAGUGUCCCUUUGUGCUUUAUAAUCAGCCUACGUGCUGUUCUCAUCAGUGAGCUUGGU